UACCAUGCUCUAAUUCCAUAAAAUUUCAAUUUCAACUUCAACAUACUCUAAUAAUUUUUUUAAUUUUGCUAAUAUAGCUUAUUUUUGAAAAUGAAAUAAUUUAAUGAAUAUCCGUGUGAAUUAAAUCUCUUCCGGUUGCCUUUUCCAAAUCAAUCAAGCAAAUAAAGAGAGCAAUUCUCGAUGAAGAAAGUAAAAUCAAUUUUGGGCAAAAUUUUCACCAUUUCCGAACCCUAAUCUCAAACCCCUGCGAUUAAUGCGUUAUGUUCAAUCCAUUUCAAAGACGUUUUUCGGCGAAGUUCGAUCUGCAAUGGCGCAUAAUAUUGCACGCAAGAAGUGGAGCGCAUGCAGUAUUCGCUUUAACAAGAGAAGCCACUGUUUGUGUAUCAUGAGACGCUAGCAAACUGCAGUUACAACCUAUAAGUUGCUUUAGGGUGGAAAGAGCUGCAAAGAAAGUGAGGUAAGCAGCCUUACUAUAAGGCUAAUUGUAUUUAGAAACUAGUACUACUAUUUAUAUCAUGGUCCAUAUUUUGGUGUGGCCUAAUUGUCCGAUUUCUCAUUUAACGCAAAACGGUAAGUAUUGUUCUCAUUUAGCUAGCGUUUUGAUUGAAGUUUAUUAAUCAUCAAUCAAGUUUCUCAUUACUGAAAUAUGGUUUAUUAAUUACACAAUUAGGUUUUAAUUAGAGUUGAUGCAUAGUAUAGGAGUGUGCCUCAUUUAAUUACAAGAAAUGGGAUGAGUGGUAAUGAUCUACAGGUACUAAAUUACUCAUAGUAAUGUUGGGGUUGUUUUAAUGUUUACUAUGCAUAACUGGCAGAUGUAGAAGGCAUAUUUUUGUUAUUUAUAUGCCUGCCUAAUGCAAUAAUGAACAGGGUGGAGCCUUUCAAAUUUUACUAUUAUGGUGUGCUAAAAUUGGGAAAAUUUUAAUUUCUAAAACAUAUGGAAUUUCAAACUCUGUUUAUACUUUGGUUUUGGAAUUUCACUUUUUUCAUAUGAGAUAUGCUUUGCUAUUGUUGCCAUUGUUAUUAUUUGAACAUGUAGGAUAUUUUUAUUCA